GGGGUUGUAGCUCAGUGCUAGAGCACACGCCUUGCACGUGUGAGGCACUGGGUUUGAUCCUCAGCACCA
rnacentral:tRNA from 1 species